rnacentral:rRNA from 1 species
UACGUAGGGUGCGAGCGUUAAUCGGAAUUACUGGGCGUAAAGCGUGCGCAGGCGGUUUUGUAAGCCGGAUGUGAAAUCCCCCGGGCUUAACCUGGGAAUGGCAUUCGGGACUGCAAGGCUGGAGUGCGGCAGAGGAGACUGGAAUUCCUGGUGUAGCAGUGAAAUGCGUAGAUAUCAGGAGGAACACCGAUGGCGAAGGCAGGUCUCUGGGCUGACACUGACGCUCAUGCACGAAAGCGUGGGGAGCAAACAGG